GGGCGGUUAGCUCAGUUGGCAGAGCGACUGGUUUACACCCAGUAGGUCGGCGGUUCGAAUCCGUCACCGCCCACCA
rnacentral:tRNA from 1 species